rnacentral:rRNA from 1 species
UGGAGGGCAAGUCUGGUGCCAGCAGCCGCGGUAAUUCCAGCUCCAAUAGCGUAUAUUAAAGUUGUUGCAGUUAAAAAGCUCGUAGUUGAAUUUCGGGAUCAAAGAAUCGGUCAUGCYUUGGUAUGUACUGGUUUUAUUGGUUCUCACCUUCUAAAGAACCAUAAUGUCAUUUAUUUGAUGUUAUGGGGAAUUAGGACUGUUACCUUGAAAAAAUUAGAGUGUUUAAAGCAAGCUUACGCUUGAAUACAUUAGCAUGGAAUAAUGAAAUAGGACAUCMGAUUCUAUUUUGUUGGUUUCUAGGAUCGAUGUAAUGAUUAAUAGGGAUAGUUGGGGGCAUUAGUAUUCAAUUGUCAGAGGUGAAAUUCUUGGAUUUAUUGAAGACUAACUACUGCGAAAGCAUUUGCCAAGGAUGUUUUCAUUAAUCAAGAACGAAAGUUAGGGGAUCGAAGACGAUCAGAUACCGUCGUAGUCUUAACCAUAAACUAUGCCGACUAGGGAUCGGAUGAUGUUWAUUUUUUARUGACUCAUUCGGCGCCUUACGGGAAAC